rnacentral:lncRNA from 1 species
AGAGAUUGACAACAAAUAAUUUUUUGAAAGUUAUACAUUACAUAUAGUGUUAUUUGGCAUUGUCAUUGAAUUUUCAGUUGUAUUUGUGUUAAAAUAACAGCCAUCUUUUACUGUACAUUUACAAUGUGCCACAGUACCAAGCACGUUAUAAUCAUGUUGUCUCAUUUGACUCAUUCGCGGGCACUGACAUCUGAAAAAACAAAGCUUAACAAAGACCUGUAGGUAUCACAGCCAGGAAGCAAAUUUAGGUCCUUCUGGUUACAAAGUCAAUGUUUCAACCAUCAGGCUCCUCCACAUGACUCAGUUGUUUCUAUUUUAAAUCAAAGAGGGUUUCUUUUCAUAAUAAGCUCAACUUCUGUUGAUUUCUUCAUAAAAUUAGAUAAAUUAGUUUUAAGUCUGUGUGAAUGUAUAGCACAGAGUUUCCAGCAGGUGAACAGAAAGAGUUUCCAGCAGAUGAACAUUCUAUUAUAGGAAAACACAGUGGAGUAAUAUCCAUUCUUUUAUAGGAAAUAGCAAUGGAAUAAUAUCCAUAAAUGGGAAAAUAAUUUAAAAUGUUUCUUUUUUCAGAAAUACGUUUAUUUUAAUCAAGUGGAAAGAAAACUUUUAAGUGAUAGGUCAGUGCAUGUGAAAAAGUAAAUGAAAACAUGUCUUCUUCUUCCCCUGCUCCCCCCACUUCUCCUUUUUCUCCUCUUCUUUUUUGAGACAGGAUCUCACUGUGUCACCCAGGCUGAAAUGCAAUCGUGCAAUCAUGGCUCACUGCAGCCUCAACUGUGAAAAGUUACAUGGAGUGUGCCUGCCUCUCCUGCACGCUCUCCAACCUCUGACAUCCCUCAGACAGCAAGACCAACUCCUACUCUUCCUUCUCAUCCUCAGCCUGCUCAAUGUGAAGACCAUGGGCAUAAAGAUCUUUAUGCUGAUCCACUUCCACCUAAUGUAUUUACUAAUAUAUAUUAGUAUACAUAUUAUAUAUUAUAUAUAUUAGUAUAUAAAUAUAUUUACUAAUCAUAGCAGUAAAUAUAUUUUCUGCUAUGAUUUUCUUAGUAACAUUAUCUUUUCUCUAGCUUACCUUAUUGUAAGAAUACAGUAUAUGAUACACACAGCCAACAAAAUGUGCUAAUUAAUUAUGCUCUUGGUAAGGCCUCUGGUCAACAAUAAUUAAUAGAUAAAUUUGGAGAGAGUCAAAAGUUAUUCAAGAGUUGGCCACAGAUUUUUGGCUGAGUGGGGGAGGGAGAGUGUCAGUGGCCCUAACACCUGCAUUGUUUAAGGGGUGACUGUACCCCUCUCAGCUUCACUGGCCCCUCGUUUGACUCCACAUGCCGCACCUCUCUGGCCACUUCAACUGAAAGCAGUAAACAUGAGCUCCUCAGCCACAGCCCAACCAAGUUCACGGAGCUCCUACGGUCCAUGAAUUGGCAUCUUUUCUUUUUGUGACCACCAAGUGCAUGUACUUUUGUAAGGCCUAAUCCUUUUUUAUUUUUUUAAAAGCCUUUAUUUUAGGUUCAGGAAAACAGUGCAGGUUUUUUUACAUAGGUAAACUCAUGUCAUGGGGGUUUGAUGUACAGAUUAUUUUGAGACCCAGGUACUAAGCCUAUUACCGAAUAGUUAUUUUUUUCUGGUUCUUUCCCUUCUCCCACCCUCCAGUAGGCCUCAGUGUCUGUUGUUCCCCUCUAUGUGUCCAUGCAUUCUCAUCAUUUAGCUCCCACUUAUAAGUGAACACGUGGUAUUUGGUUUUCUGUUUCUGUGUUAGUAUGCUGAGGAUAAUGGUCUCCAGCUCCCUCAGUGUUUCUACAAAGGACACAAUUUCAUUCUUUCUUAUGGCUUCAUAGUAUUCCAUGGUGUGUAUGUACCACAUUUUGUUUAUCCAGUCUUCCAUUUAUGGGCAUUUCGGUUGAUUCCAUGUCUUUGCUAUUUGAAUAUAGUGCCGCCAUGAAUAUUCAUGUGCACAUUUUUAUGAUGGAAAGAUUUAUAUUCCUUUGGGUAUAUACCAGUAAUAGGAUUGCUAGGUUGAAUGGUAGCUCUGCUUUUAGCUCUUUGAGAAAUUAUCCCACUGCUUUCCACCCCAGUUGAAUGAAUUUACACCCCCCACCAACAGUGUACAAGUGUUCCUUUUUCUCUGCAAUCUCACCAGCAUCUUUUUUUUUUCUUUACUUUUUACUAAUAGCCAUUCUGAUUGGUUUUGCUGUUGUGAGAUGGUGUCUCAUUGUGGUUUUGAUUUGCACUUUUAUAAUGAUCAGUGGAUGCAGAGCAUUUUUUCAUAUGAUUGUUGGUUGCACGUACGUCUUCUUUUGAAAAGUGUCUGUUCAUAUCCUUUGCCCACUUUUUAAUGGGGAUGGGUUUGUCUGUUGUAAAUAUGUUUAAGUUCCUUAUAGAUGUUGGAUAUUAGACCUUUUCAGAUGUGUAGUUUGGAAAUAUUUUUGCCCAUUUUAUAAGUUGUCUGUUUACUAUUGUUGAUGGUUUCUUUUGCUGUGCAGAAGCUCUUAAGUUUAAAUAGAUCCCAUUUGUCAAUUUUUGUUUUAAAGCAAUUGCUUUUGCCAUCUUAAUCACAAAGUCUUUGCCAGUUCCUAUGUUCAGAAUGGCAUUGCCUAGGCUGUCUCCCAGGGUUUUCAUACUUUUGGGCUUUACAUUUAAGUCUUCAAUCCAUCUUGAGUUGAUUUUUGCAUAUGGUGUAAGGAAGGGUACAGUUUCCAUUUUCUGCAUAUGGCUAGCCAGAUGCCCCACCAUUUAUUGAAUAUUGAAUAAAGAGUCCUUUCCUCAUAGCUUGUUUUUGUCAGCUGUGUCAAAGAUCAGAGAUCAGACGGUAGUAGGUGUGCACCCUUAUUUCUGGGCUCUCUAUUCUGUUCCUUGGUCUACGUGUCUGUUUUUGUACCAUUCCUAUGUAGGAUAGAUUGAAGCCUGGUAGUGUGAUGUCUCCGUUUUUCUUUUUUCUUAGGAUUGCCUUGACUAUUUGGGCAUUUUUAAGGUUCUAUGUAAAUUUUAAAAUAGUUUUUCUAGUUCUGUGAAGAAUGUCAUAGUUUGAUAGGAAUAGCGCUGAAUCUGUAAAUUGCUUUGGCCAUUUUAAUGAUAUUGACUUCUCCUCUCCGUGAGCAUGGAAUGAUUUUCAACAUGUUUGUGUUUUCUCUUAUUUCUUUGAGCAGUGUUUUGUGGUUCUCAUUAUAGAGAUCUUUCACCUCCCUGAUUAGGUGUAUUCCUAGGUAUUGUAUUCCUUUUGCAGUAAUUGUGAAUGGAAGCCCAUUCCUGAUUUGGCCUUCUGUUUGUCUCUUUUUGGUGUAGGAAUGCCAGUAAUUUUUUGUACAUUGAUUUUGUAUCCUGAAACCUUGCUGAAGUUGUUUAUCAGCCUAAGGAGGUUUUGAGCUGAGAAUAUGGUGUUUUCGAGAUACAGAAUCAUGUCAUCUGCAAACAGUGAUAAUUUGACUGCCUCUCUUCCUAUUUGGAUGCCCUUUAUUUCUUUCUCUUUCCGGACUGUUCUGGCCAGCACUUCUAAUACUAUGUUGAAUAGGAGUGGUGAGAGAGGGCAUCCUUGUCUUGUGCUGAUUUUCAAGGGGAAUGCUUCCAGCUUUGACCCAUUCGGUGUAGUAUGAUAUUGGCUGUGGGGUUGUCACACAUGGCUCUUAUUAUCUUCAGCUAUGUUCCUUUAAUAUCUAGUUUGUUAAGAGGUUUUAACAUGAAGGGAUGUUGAGUUUUAUUGAAAGUCUUUUUUACAUCUAUUGAGAUGAUCAUGUGGGUUUUGUCUUUAGUUCUGUUUAUGUGAUGAAUCAUGUUUCUUGAUUUGCAUAACCAACCUUGUAUCCCAGGGAUAAAGUCUACUUGGUUGUGGUGAAUUAGCUUUUUAAUAUGCUGCUGGAUUAAGUUUGCUAGUAUUUUGUUAAGGAUUUUUGAAUCAAUGUUCAUCAAGGAUAUUGGCCCUUUUUUUUAAAAAAAAUUGUGUCUUUGUCAGGUUGUGGUAUCAGGAUGAUGUUUGCUAGCCUCAUAGAAUGAGCUAGGAAGGAAUUCCUUCUCCUCAAAUUUUGGAAUAGUUUCAGUAGGAAUGGUACCAGCUCUUCUUUAUACAUCCGGCAAAUUCAGCUGUAAAUCCAUCUGGUCCAAGGCUUUUAUUGAUUGGUAGGCUAUUUAUUUCUGUUUCAAUUUCAAAAGCUCAUUAUUGGUCUGUUCAGGAAUUCAAUUUCUUCCUGGUUCAGUGUUGGCAGGGUGUGGAGUGUCCAGGAAUUUAUCCAUUUCUUCAAAAUUUCCUAGUUUGUGUUCAUAAUAUUCUGAUGGCUAUUUGGAUUUUGUGGGGUCAGUGAUACCCCCUUUGUCACUUCUGAUUGUUUAUGCGGAACUUCUCUCUUUUCUUCUUUAUUAAUAUAGUCAGUGGUCUCUUAUUAAUUUUUUCAAAGAAUCAGCUGCUGGCUUCACUUAUGUUUUGCAUGGCUUCUCACAUCUCAAUCUCCUUCACUUUAGUUCUGAUUUUGGUUAUUUCUUGCCUUCUGUUAGCUUUGGGGUUGGCUUGCUCUUGCUUCUCUAAUUCUUUUGGAUGUGAUAUUAGGUUGUUAAUUUGAGAUCUUUCUGACUUUUUGAUGUGAGCAUUUAGUGCUAUAAACUUCCUUCUUCAUACAGCCUUAGCUGUGUCCCAGAGAUUCUGGUUUGUUGUAUUUUUGUUCUCACUAGUUUCAAGGAACUUUUUUAUUUCUGCCUUGAUUUCAUUAUUUA